rnacentral:rRNA from 1 species
GGGGGGGGGGGGGGGGGGGGGGGGGGGGGGGGGGGCGGGGGGGGGGGCGGGGGGGGGGGGGGGUGGUCGGGGGGCGAGGGGGGGAGGAACACGUGAGUGACCUGCCCUUGACUUUGGGCUAACUUCAGGAAACUGGGGCUAAUACCGGAUAGGAGCUCCUGCUGCAUGGUGGGGGUUGGAAAGUUUCGGCGGUUGGGGAUGGACUCGCGGCUUAUCAGCUUGUUGGUGGGGUAGUGGCUUACCAAGGCUUUGACGGGUAGCCGGCCUGAGAGGGUGACCGGCCACAUUGGGACUGAGAUACGGCCCAGACUCCUACGGGAGGCAGCAGUGGGGAAUAUUGCACAAUGGGCGGAAGCCUGAUGCAGCAACGCCGCGUGCGGGAUGACGGCCUUCGGGUUGUAAACCGCUUUCGCCUGUGACGAAGCGUGAGUGACGGUAAUGGGUAAAGAAGCACCGGCUAACUACGUG